rnacentral:snoRNA from 1 species
GGAGAGGAUGAUCAUUAAUUGUCGCCCCAGUCCUAUUUGUCCCAAGCCAGGGAACAACAAUGAGGAUGGACUGAGCUAAGGCCCCUGAUCC